AGAGUUUGAUCCUGGCUCAGAAUCAACGCUGGCGGCGUGCCUAACACAUGCAAGUCGAGCGAGAAAGUGGUAGCAAUACCAUGAGUAAAGCGGCGCACGGGUGAGUAACACGUGACUAACCUACCCUGGAGUGGGGAAUAACUGAGGGAAACCUUAGCUAAUACCGCAUAAUACCUACGGGUCAAAGGAGCAAUUCGCUCUGGGAGGGGGUCGCGGCCGAUUAGUUAGUUGGCGGGGUAAUGGCCCACCAAGACGAUGAUCGGUAUCCGGCCUGAGAGGGCGCACGGACACACUGGAACUGAAACACGGUCCAGACUCCUACGGGAGGCAGCAGUGGGGAAUUUUGCGCAAUGGGGGAAACCCUGACGCAGCAACGCCGCGUGGAGGAUGAAGUCCUUCGGGACGUAAACUCCUUUCGAUCGGGACGAUAAUGACGGUACCGGAAGAAGAAGCCCCGGCUAACUUCGUGCCAGCAGCCGCGGUAAUACGAGGGGGGCGAGCGUUGUUCGGAAUUAUUGGGCGUAAAGGGUGCGUAGGCGGUUUGGUAAGUCUUCUGUGAAAUCUAUGGGCUCAACUCAUAGACUGCAUGAGAAACUGCCGGGCUUGAGUGUGGGAGAGGUGAGUGGAAUUUCCGGUGUAGCGGUGAAAUGCGUAGAUAUCGGAAGGAACACCUGUGGCGAAAGCGGCUCACUGGACCACAACUGACGCUGAUGCACGAAAGCUAGGGGAGCAAACAGGAUUAGAUACCCCAGUAGUCC
rnacentral:rRNA from 1 species